rnacentral:rRNA from 1 species
GAUGAACGCUGGCGGCGUGCCUAACACAUGCAAGUCGAGCGGCAGCGAGGGGUGCUUGCACCCUGUCGGCGAGCGGCGGACGGCUGAGUAACGCGUGGGAACGUGCCCCAAAGUGAGGAAUAACUGCCCGAAAGGGUAGCUAAUACCGCAUAUUAUCUUCGGAUCAAAGGAUUUAUCCGCUCUGGGAGCGGCUCGCGUCGGAUUAGGUAGUUGGUGAGGUAAUGGCUCACCAAGCCGACGAUCCGUUGCUGGUCGUAGAGGGUGACCAGCCAGACUGGAACUGAUACACGGCCCAGACUCCUACGGGAGGCAGCAGUGAGGAAUCUUCCACAAUGGGCGAAAGCCUGAUGGAUCAACGACGCGUGCAGGACGAAGGCCUUCGGGUUGUAAACUGCUUUUAUAAGUGAGGAAUAUGACGGUAACUUAUGAAUAAGGAUCGGCUAACUACGUG